GCUAUGAGGUAGCUCAGUUAGUUAGAGCAUGGUGCUGGUAACGCCAAGGCCGCAGGUUCGAAUCCCAUAUGGGGAAGCA